UGGUGGGAAGAGAGGAAGUUUCCUGAGAGUUCUCUAGUUGAUCUAAGAAUCAAGAAUUACUUCAAGAUUAUUUAUUUCGGGACAUCAGAGCACUAACCACAGAAAGAGAUGAGAAGGGGGCUAGGAAGGUCUGACUACGGUCCUACAAACACCGAUCCGAACGAGGUGGAAUACGUCGACCGUUAGGGCUGUCACUACCCUAAGGCUACCACAACAAUCCGCAGGAUUGGGUGCAAUUCCAGGUAAUUGCA
rnacentral:lncRNA from 1 species